GACGAACGCUGGCGGCGUGCUUAACACAUGCAAGUCGAACGGAAAGGCCCUGGUUUUGUGGGGUGCUCGAGUGGCGAACGGGUGAGUAACACGUGAGUGACCUGCCCUCCACUUUGGGAUAACUUCGGGAAACUGGGGCUAAUACCGGAUAGGACCUCCUGCUGCUGGGGGGGGGUUGGAAAUUUUCGGCGGUAGGAGAUGGACUCGCGCCUUAUCAGGUUGGUGGGGGGGUAGUGCCUUACCAGGGAUUAGAGGGAUACCCGCUCUGAGAGGGUAACCGCCCAUUUUGAGUAGAGACAUACGGCCCACACUCCUAGGAGGAGGCACAGUGGAGUAUUGUGCACUAUGGGCAGACCCGAUGAUGCGACACCCCGCGAGGGAUGAUGACCUUCUCGGUGUUGUACCUCUCUUUCUCCUGAGACAACUCUUGAGUGACGGUACCGUGGAAAGAAGCACCGGCUAACUACGUGCCAGCAGCCGCGGUGAUACGUANGGUGCGAGCGUUGUCCGGAUUUACUGGGCGUAAAGGGCUCGUAAGUGGUUUGUCGCGUCGUCUGUGAAUUCCGGGGCUUAACUCCGGGCGUGCAGGCGAUACGGGCAAACUGGAGUGCUGUAGGGGAGACUGGAAUUCCUGGUGUAGCGGUGGAAUGCGCAGAUAUCAGGAGGAACACCGAUGGCGAAGGCAGGUCUCUGGGCAGUUACUGACACUGAGGAGCGAAAGCAUGGGUAGCGAACAGGAUUAGAUACCCUGGUAGUCCAUGCCGUAAACGGUGGGCGCUAGGUGUGGGGAUUUUUCACGAUUUCCGUGCCGUAGCUAACGCAUUAAGCGCCCCGCCUGGGGAGUACGGCCGCAAGGCUAAAACUCAAAGGAAUUGACGGGGGCCCGCACAAGCGGCGGAGCAUGUGGAUUAAUUCGAUGCAACGCGAAGAACCUUACCUGGGCUUGACAUACACCGGAUCGCUGCAGAGAUGUAGUUUCCCUUCGGGGCUGGUGUACAGGUGGUGCAUGGUUGUCGUCAGCUCGUGUCGUGAGAUGUUGGGUUAAGUCCCGUAACGAGCGCAACCCUUGUCUUGUGUUGCCAGCACGUUGUGGUGGGGACUCACAAGAGACUGCCGGGGUUAACUCGGAGGAAGGUGGGGAUGACGUCAAAUCAUCAUGCCCCUUAUGUCCAGGGCUUCACACAUGCUACAAUGGUCGAUACAGUGGGUUGCGAUACCGUGAGGUGGAGCUAAUCCCUGAAAGUCGGCCUCAGUUCGGAUUGGAGUCUGCAACUCGACUCCAUGAAGUCGGAGUCGCUAGUAAUCGCAGAUCAGCAACGCUGCGGUGAAUACGUUCCCGGGCCU
rnacentral:rRNA from 1 species